AUGUAGCUGAGGAGUCCCGAAUAGGAUGAAACGCAUGUCCUGGAU
rfam:Schistosoma curassoni strain Dakar, Senegal genome assembly, scaffold: SCTD_contig0013753